AUACUUACCUGGCAUAGGAAAUACCACGAUCAAGAAGGUGGUAUUUCCCAGGGCGACGCUCCUCCGUUGCACUCCGAGUGCACUCCGACCCUUGCGAUUUCCUAAAAUGUGUGAAAGAAACUCAGUUGCAUAAUUUGUGGUUGUGGGGGACUGCGUUUGUGCUCUCCCCUU
rnacentral:snRNA from 1 species